GCUCUUCCCUGCAUCUCUUUCUGGGCCGUGGAGCUGUCCGCUCUGAAACCUGAGGAAGUCGUAGUUCAGGGAGGGGUAGCUCUUGCACCUAGGCCGUUAGGAACGAGUUUUAGGUUCGAAUCCCAUCUUACGGAAGGUGGUGUUGGUCCCUUGGGUGUCCCACCCGUCUCAGCCAAACUGCGGGCCAUUUCCCGGGGCGAGCAAGGGGAGUUACCGCGCCAGUGGGUGGACUCGCCGCCUCUCAGAGUCGGGAGGAAGUCGAGCUGGGGUGCAGUUACGAGUCUCAGUUAAUAAUGAAUAGGGUGGCCAAUGGUGGGCCAGGCACAGUGGCUCACGCCUGUAAUCCCAGCACUUUGGGAGGCCGAGGCGGGCGGAUCACGAGGUUAGGAGAUAAGAGACCAGCCUGGCUAAUAUGGUGAAACCUCGUCUUUACUAAAAAUAAAAAAAUUAGCUGGGCAUGGUGGCGGGCGCCUGUAGUCCCGGCUACUCGGGAGGCUGUGGCAGGAGAAUCGCUUGAACCGAGGAGGCAGAGGUUGCAGUGAGCCGACAUCGCGCCACUGCACUCCAGCAUGGCGACAAAGCGAGACUACGUCUCAAAAACAAACAAACAAAAAAGAAAAGAAAAGAAAAAAAACGGUGGCCAAUAUGGUGAAACACCCUCUCUACUAAAAAUACAAAAAUUAGCUGGGCGUGGUGGCGCCCGCCUGUAGUCCCAGCUACUCGGGAGGCUGAGGCAGAAGAAUCGCUUGAAGCCGGCAGGCAAAGGUUGCAGUGACCCGAGAUUGCGCUACUGCACUCCAGCCUGGGCGACAGAGCGAGGUUCCGUCUCGAAAAAAAAAAAACAACGAAAAGGGGACUCACUUCGGAGAAGCUGCCCUCUCUGCAAACUUAUUUGAGUAAGGGACUGAAGACUGAAGUUAGGGAGAGGAAAGGGAUACACGUCUGUUAGUGCGAGUUGCGUGUCUUGUUAGUGCGAACUGGAACCCAAGUUUCCUUUGGGAAGACUUUGGCGAAAGAGUACAGGAACACCAGCCACUCCAGAAAGAGAGACCGCUCCUCUUGAACCCGCCCAGUUAACUCCUCCCGCAGGCUCUACGUUCGAAUGCCUCCACCCUGAUUUUGAAGGUUAUAGGCGCACAAUCAAGGAAAUGUCGACAGAGGGCGUCCUUGCUCUAAGCAGCAUUGUCCACCUGCUUCCUGAGCGGGGUUGAAUGAUUAUUCUCUGAACCUGGACUUCUGGCGUUGUGCCUCUAUACUCCAUUUCGCUGCUUCAAAGCUCUCCUAAUUGACUUUAUUUUCUGACACUCGCCCACUUUACCCCCCAGGAGUGUUGCUUCUUUUAUUUCUUUGCCUGGAUGGUUGUUUGGCUUAGUAAAUAGACCUAGACCCCACGCCAUGGUGUAGAAGCAGUUGGUGAACUUCUAUAAAGGGCCAGAUAGUACACAUUUUAGGCUUUGCUAUCUCCUUAUGGUUGUAAGUUCUGCUGUUGUAGCACAAAAUCAGCCUUGGACAGUAAGCAGAUAGGUGUGGCUGUGUUCCAACAAAACUUCACUGAAAUUUGAAUUUCACUGUAAUUUUCACGUGUCACGAAAUAUUUUUUUUAACCAUUUAAAAAUGUAAAAAUAAUGUGUGUGUGUGUGUGUGCGCGCGCGCGUGUUAGCUUGGGCCGCCAGCUAGCAGUAGUUUGCCAAUUCUUGGUAGAGAAAGAGAGCAGUCUCCACCUAGGUCUGGGAAUUCAGGGAGAGAGGUGCUGGCCAAAAUAACAGUUCAUGGCCUGCUUUUCUAGAUCUGGGAGUGAGUAGGACUACUACUAGACUCUCAUUUGACCUCUCCUUUGGGAAUCGCAGGGUAUAUAGUGCCCACUGAUUGGUGGGAAUUUUGUCAAGGUGGGUCUGAUAAUCUGGCUUCUUUCCCUUCCCAGCUCUUUAUAGUCUUUCUUUCUUUUUUAUCGUUCUCUCCCUCUCUCUUUUUAGCGAUGUGGUCUUGCUAUGUUGCCCGGGCUGAGUGCAGUGACUAUUCACAGGCCGGAUCUAGUGCACUGCAGUCUUGAACUCCUGGCUUACAGUCCUGCUGGUUCUGAGAGGCAGGGGAAGAAACGGCCACCAUGCUCUGCAGCUAGGUGUCAGCAUGAGGACCAAGAACCCUGGUGUUCCUCCACUCAUCGGAGCCGUAUCAUUUUGGUGCAUUGGCCGGGAAAGGAAAUUCAAUCUUGAGACUGGAUUCUGUCUGUUAGAAAAGAUCGUGAAUCACGGCAUGCAGUAACUCAGUAAGUGUCUCUCUCUACCUUUUCUCUGGCAAGCACAUGGUAUUUCUAAGCCACCUAGUAGAAAUCAGGCUGUAGGCCUCUUCUAAGAAUGGGAAGUUUUUGCUUUUAACAGUUAGGAGUAGGAUGUCUUCCAUGGCCAAAUUUUAGUCUCAAUAUUGUCCCACUGGCAGGAAAACGGCCAUUCAGUUCCUAUGUUCCUUUAAGCCAUCUAUUCUGGCUCCUACUAAGACAGUGCUUAAUUAGUAAGGGGAUUUUAAGUCCAGAAGUUAACCGGAACCAUUCUUCUAUGGGUAAAUGCUUUAGCAUGGGCUAUAAUGGCAGGAUAUAGAGUUCAAUCUAUCACAUCCCCUCCCUUAAAGGGUCUCUUCCCAAUUACAUGGUUUUUCUUCAAAUCCAUUUUUUGGGAGGCACACAGGCCACCCAAGUCUAGGAGGUCAAAGGUAAAUAAAAGGCAGAGAACUGAUUGCUUGGGAACAGCGUGACUAUGGCCCAAAACUCAGAUCCUCUGGUGCCAUGGCUUGGAGGGUCACACCUGCAGUCAUGGGUGGAACAUUUAAAUGAGUGCUGGGAAUCCAGGAACAAAGGAGAGAAAAUAGUUGGGGGACGCCUCCUACUGCUUUCUUUUCCAUCCUGGAUUUCAUACCAAAAGGAAGGAGACUAAAAGGACGCUUUUAUUCUCACUUCUCUUUCUCGAUGGGUAACAGACCGUCUUCAACAUGCACUCCUCUUGAGUGUAUUUUGAAGCACUGGGAUCUUUCGACCUUGAAACUUUGAAGAAAAAGUGGCUUAUUUUCUUUUGCAGUCAUAUCAGGCAGGCCCAGGGAAAACAGUACCCCAAAAUUAAAAAAGUAACUUUCAGGGAAGUCAUCUGAGGGUCCCCCUUAUUUGGGGCCCCUUCAAGUUCCCUUCUCAUUGCAGGACCUUUGGCAAGUAAAGGGAGACUUAGGCUGGUUUUCUGAUGACCUUAAUAAGUAUAUAGAAACUUUCCAAAAUUUAACUCAGGUAUUUAACCUCUCAUGAAGGGAUGUUAUGUUGCUGCUAAGUCAAACCCUUACUGUAGGUAAAAUAAGCAGCUCUGCAAGCAGAAGAAAAUUUUGGAGAUAAGUAAUGUCUCCUAUAGAAGGCCAAAAGGGAAAAGAAAAAAAUAGGGAAGGCAAAGGGGAAACACCAUUCCCAAUAGGAAAAGAGGCAAUACCUCCUGACAACCCUAACUGGAACUCCUUUCUGUGGUGUUUUUCCUUGUUUUGCAGUUUAAAAUGGCUUCUCUUUUAUAAUGUUCUUCCAACAUGGAAAAGGUUAAUUUUCCAAACCUUAAAAUGUUUGGCAUAGAGUUGAGCUAGGGGGAAGGAAACCCAGCCCAGAAGCCUGAUAUGCUGGCAAAAGGGUAAAAAUUUCUUACCAGUCAGGCUUUUGGCUUCUCUCUUCCUGUGGAAACCGGCAAAAGGGAUAAUAAAGAUCAUUGUUUAUGUUUUCUUUAAAUUUAUAGUUAAUGAAAAAGGAUUUGUGAGGUUGGUCUUAAGCUGUAAACAAUCUGCUCUUCUUUGUAUGUCUUUCUGUAUGGUUCUGUUAAAGAAAAGGUAUCUUAGGUCAGGAUGCAGGCCCAGAAACCCAUAAGCCUGCUGUUCAAACCAGCCCAGCAAAGUAUCCAGUGGCAAACUUGGCUACAGGCCUCCAUCUUGUUUCAUGUCAUGGAAACAUAAUCUGUAACCGUGUGGCAAUACUUUGUUUUUGUCUCCGCCAUUUUACAAUGGUGGCUGUCUUCUUGUGCUAAAUCAGAUAAGCCAGUUUGUCAGUCUGGGCUGUGUCAGCUGAUCCAUCAAGGGCAGGGUUUACAAAACAUCUUAAGCACUGAUCAUAACAGCCGUUUAGGGAGGGUCAAAAUCUUGUAGCCUCCAAUUGCAUGGCUCUUGGGCCAUGGUUUCUAAUCCUGUAGCUAGUUUCUUGGUCUGGUCCCCAGGCAAAAGGGAAGUAUAUCUUGAGAAGCAGCUGCUAUCUUCUUUGUUUUAGACUAUAAACUGUAAACCAAGCUCCUCCCAAAGUUGGUUCAGCCUAUGCCCAGGGAUGGGCAAGGACAGUUUGGGGGCUGGAAACAAAAUGGAGUUGUUUGGGUGAGAUCUCUUCCACUGUCUCAGUCACAAUUUUGCAGUGACAGUUUCAAAAGCUGCCUGUCCGGGUGGAUCACGAGGUCAGGAGUUCAAGACCAGCCUAGUCAACAUGACGAAACCCUGUCUCUACUAAAAAAACAAAAAUUAGCCAGGCGUGGUGGCAUGCACCUGUAGUCCUGGCUACUCAGGAA